rnacentral:lncRNA from 13 species
AGUCUUUUUAAGAAGAAGAGAGGGAAAACUUUGAGGACUAGAGUGGUCAAGAAAAGUUCAAUAGGAUUUGGAAACUUUCUUGACCACAAAGGGUAAGUGGGGUGUGAAUGGGCAUUUGUGAGGACACUCCAAGCAUUUGUGAGGUCAUCCUGAGGUGAUGGGCCAUAGGACUCAGAGGUCAAGGGCAGUGUGAAAGGGGUGGCCUCAUGAGGACACCAGCCUGACAGAACGGAGGGUCUACGUGGAGGUGGUGGAAAGUGUCUACAGAACAAAGAGACUUGAAAAGAUGAAAAGCAGAAGAAUAUGGCUACAGAGCCUGACAGGUCUACCUGGCUACCAAGCAGAACGGGUCAGCAUGGCCGCUUUGACUCCUGGAGACACUACACAUUUCAGGCUUCCAAGAUCACCCCCAUAUAGCUGUUCGAG